UACGUAGGGGGCAAGCGUUGUCCGGAUUUAUUGGGCGUAAAGAGCGUGUAGGCGGCCAGGUAGGUCUGGUGUGAAAACUCGAGGCUUAACCUCGAGAUGUCAUCGGAAACCAUUUGGCUAGAGUCCGGAAGAGGAGAGUGGAAUUCCUGGUGUAGCGGUGAAAUGCGCAGAUAUCAGGAAGAACACCAAUGGCGAAAGCAGCUCUCUGGGACGGUACUGACGCUGAGACGCGAAAGCGUGGGGAGCGAACAGG
rnacentral:rRNA from 1 species